rnacentral:tRNA from 1 species
GCGCCCGUAGCUCAGCCGGAUAGAGCAACGGCCUUCUAAGCCGUGGGUCGCAGGUUCGAAUCCUGCCGGGCGCACCA